ACAGAUACAUUUGGAUUUAUUCAAAAGAAGGACUGUGCUGUUUGUGCUUUCUGUUGGGAAAGUGUUGUUUGUCACACAUCAAGCGUUAGACGACAAUUUCAAACGAAGCAGACAAGACUGAAUCGAUCAAAAAGGCAGUAGCAGGAUAUGAGAAGCAAAGCAGUGUUUUUAAAUGCUUAAGUAAAAAUCAAGCCACAGAAGGAAGUUACAAGAUUGCACAGUGCAUUGCAAAAAACGGAAAGCCGUUUACAGAUGGGAAAUAUAUAAAAAGUUUUUCUCAGAAAUUCAGAGGUUUUGUUCAAUGAUUUGCCAAAUAAAGAUGCGUAUCUAGAAUAAAAGAACUGCCUGUCUCUGCCAGAACAGUUGAGACAGGCAUAAGUGAAAUGGCAGAAAACAUUAACGGAAAGCAGAAAACUGCAUUAAAAGACACAGCAGUGUUUAGUGUUGCAGUUGAUGAAAGCAUGGAUAUAAACGACUUUCCACAUUUGGCAGUUGUUGCAAGAUAUUGUGCUUCCAAUGAAAUCCAAGAGGAACUUUGUUGCCUAAAACGUCUGCAUGGCACAACAAAGGGGGAAGAUAUAGCGGAAACUUUUGUAAACCAUUUUGAAGAACGAGGAGUUGACAUCGGAAAAAUAUUUUGUGUGACAACAGAUGGUGCUCCUGCCAUGAUCGGAAAAAAAAAAAAGGGGGGGGGGGGGAUUUGUAAAGUUACCUGAAGAUCAAAUUGGCCGCCCGACACUCAAAUUUCACUGUAUCAUCCAUCAAGAAAACCUGUGUGCUAAAAUUUCUAAUUCAGAGCUUAAUAAUGUGAUGAAUACAGUGGUGCAAAUUGUGAAUAUCGUUGUUGCUUGAUCUGCUUUGACUAACAGACAGUUUCAAGCACUGCUAGAAGAAAUGGACAGUGCUCAUAAUGACAUUCUACUUCACAGCAACAUUUGGUGGCUAAGUCGUGGCAAGGUUUUGGUGUGCUUUGUAAACUGUUUUGAUGCAAUCAACGCCCUUUUGUCAGAAAGGACAAAACCACCCCGAACUGGAUGACGACAAAUGGCUGCAUAAGCUCAUGUUUUUAACUGACAUCACCACUCACCUACACGAACUCAACCUCCGUCUCUAGGGUGCAGGGCAAAUGGUUCUGGAUCUUUAUGAAAGGCAUCUGUUGUAAAACUAGCAGUUUUCUCUCAGGAUAUUUGAACUUCGACUUUCUGCUACUUCCAACACAUAAAAGAGCUACCGACACAUUGCACUGUCAGAGUCGAUGAGAUUGGAAUGUACAUGCAAGAACUGGAAUCGGAAUUUUCUGACAGAUUGCAAGAUUUCCAGCGAUUUGGCCCAAUGCUUUCUUUUCUAAUUAAACCUCAGAAGUUCAAUGAAUGCGACUUGGAUUUGUCUAUUUUCAGUGGAUAGGUGUUGAAGAUUUCGAAAUGCAGCUCAUGCAGUUAAAAAGCUCAGAAUUGUGGGCAUCAAAGUUUGGAGUUCUGCGGAGUGCACUUAAAGCUACCGAGAGAGAUCAUGGGGCCUCUAUUCUGACCUGAUGGAUGUCACUGCCAGUGAAAUUUAACUGUUUGAAGAAAAUUGCGUUUGCAAUGCUUUCAGCAUUUGGAUCCACACACCUGUAUGAACAGGUAUUUUCACACAUGAAAUCUGUCCUCUGUCCCUCUUGGAGCCAGUUAACAACUGAUCACUCAGAAGCCUGCGUGCAGCUUAAAGUUCCAAAUACGUGCCAGACAUUGGAAAACUCAGCAAGGAAAAGCAAGGGCAAGGGUACAAACAGUGUUGUUUCUAGUGAUGUGAACUGGAAUUUCCCAUCUGAACUUCAUUGCAAAUCUGUCCCGAUAUUUGGUGUUUUACUGAAACCCCCAGCUCCUGGAAUCACAUUAAAGCAUGAGAACCUCAGGUUUCAUAUUAAAAAGUUUCUGGUGUGAAAUACUGGCAAGACACCCACUGAUUUCAGCUGGACCCAUAUGGAGUUUUACCCAUAGCUUUUACGGUUGCGGAGAAGAGUUUAAAAAUGUGACCUGAAUGCACACUAAAAACUCAAACAGGACAGCAAAUUAAAAAAAAAAAAAACAAAAAAAACUUCUUUGAAUGUUUGAGGUUGGAAAUACUGCAUUUUUGUUCACUAAGCAGCCUACUGUUUGUGGCAGUAAGUAAUGACUGGCCAAAAUCCUGUGGCUGAAGGUUGGACUGUGCCAGGAGGCAAGUAGAGGAUGGUUUUCUGGUCACUGAGGCAAUGUCAGUUAGGAUUCUUUCUUCCAGUGAGCCCCAAACAAUCCCUGUCUACUCCAGCUGGGAGUCUCUUCUCUUCCCCCAGCACCAAACUCCACCCCUGUCCAAUCAAUUUCCAACUAUUCCUUCAAAUCAGGAAAGAAAGGCAAGGCUGCACACAGUGUGCAUCGGGGAGAAAUCUGCAUGGAACUCAGUUUCAUGAUGCAGCAGGACAGAUGAGCUGAAUAAAGCUGCUAGCCCUUCAGGAGUGGAUAUGGUCACCUAAUACUCAUCAAAGUUGGGAUAGUGAGUAAUGAGCCAAGUUUUGUCAGCUCCAGUUUAUCAGAGCUUCUGGGACAGUGUCUAAGGACUCAAUAAUACAAACUGUGUCUAUCAAGAAAGUCCACAAUUUUUAUAAAGCACGUUAUUAACAGUAAUUUCUAAUCAGUAACAGUACAAUUUAAAGAUUAAAGUUACCUUGAUAUUGUGUUUUUGAUGACCGCUGUGGUCUUUAGAGUCUGCUUGUAUUUUCCUCCUUUCUUUGUCCAUUUCUUUUGAUUCUUGAGAAUUGAAUAAAUCAGACCGUGAAGAACCACAUUCUCUAAGGAAAAUAAAAUGAUGUUUUCAGUGUUGGUAAGUCAUAUAGGCAAUGCUUAAGACUAUAGACUGUAUAUGUAUUGCAAAAAAAUCCCCAUAAAUAGAUGGAUCACAGAUAGCUUAGACAUAUUUAAAGAGGUGGUCAUGUAGCCAAGCUACCAAGCUCUUCAAAGUUCUUAGACUACUGACCAGCAAGAAAAGAACUAAGUGGACAGCACCUCUAAUCAAACAGCAAAGUGAUGUUUUCUAUAAAGAGCGUACAUUUAUACCAUUUCUGUCUACACAUAAAUCAUACUCAAUAUGCUAUAGCAAAUGUUGUUUCUGCUAUACAGAAAGGAGGUUAUGGAGGGAAUUUCUUCAGGUCACUAAUUUUUACAGGAAACUGGUUUUAAUUAUAGUUACUGCAUUCUUUUUUAUAAUGGCACAUGUCAUAAAGCUUACAAGUGUAACAGUAAAAUCUAAUGCAUCUUUUAGAGAAAAAAGUUUAGUUUAUAGGCAUGCACUUUAACACAGCUAAAUAAACAGUGACUAAGGUGGAGGGGGAACAAAAAUAUUUGAAGGGUCAAAUCCUAUAUUUUUCUAUAUACAGACCCAAAAGAUACAUUUGACUAGACUGGGAUUGCCCAAUAGAUGUACAUGUUAAACUUCAGUGAUGCUAAAAAUUAAUCUAUGAUUAUUACAUGUGAUGAUUGGUGCUCAAUUACUCCAUAUAUCUAGGAUUCAAUAUGGUUUUAACCCCUAGGGAUUUUCUGUGGUUUAGCUGAAUCUAAAUCUAAACUUUGCAUGCUUUAAAUGGAACAUAUUUCCCAAUCUGCUUCCCUAAUAGCUACAGUACUGCAACAGAGAUAGAAGGAAAGUUAGUUCUGUUUUCAGGAUUUUUUAGAUUUACAAUUUAUAGCAUGAGGAAACUAAAAAACUAAAGAAAACAAUCUAGAGGUAGUAGCAGUCAGCACAAAACAACUGAAAUAUAUUUUUUAAUUACUUUGUUUCCUACACUCCUCCACAACUACCCUUCAUUAUGAUUAAUGGGCAUUAGACACUGCUGGGUUCAGAUACUUGCCUCUUUCCGCCUUAUUUUUACUUGUUAGUGUAUAACAUAGUAAUUCAAGCAAACUCUGUGCUCUGUACUAUUUAAACAAACAUUAAAUUAACUUUAGAUUAAUUGAGUUAAUUUUUAUAAAUAAAAAUAAAUAUGUCUUUAACUUACUUUUUCUCAAAAAAUAUUUUCUUUCUUCUGUUUUUACUCACUUUCAGACCUAUAGAAAUUUAACACAGAAAGCACUAAUCCAGCAACUGAAAAAUGUUAAGUCAUUUGAAAGGAAAGUUGCAGUUUAAGGUACUUCAAGAUAUUUUCUGAAUACAAUAAAGACAGAAAAAGCUACCUUUAAUUUCGUCCAUUUCCUUCCUUAACUUUGUGUUUUGCAGAAUAAGAUCCUUAACUCGCUCAGGAAUAUUCUUGCAGAGUUCCUGGGCUCUCUCAUUAGCUUCCAGGGCCCAUUCAUGUUCUCCCAGCAACGAGAGCGCCUCACAGAAGCGAUAAUGACCCUAACGUGAAUAUCAAUUUAAAUUUUUUUACAAAGUGAUGAUUCUUUCAAAAAAGAAAAAUACUAACCUGUAGCCGAAAGUGUGUCUCAGUAGACUGAACAAGUUAAAGUUUUGACCUACUCAGUAACAUACAAGUUACUGUCUGUUCUAGCCAACUGUUGAAUGGCCAGUGUUACAUAAGAUUUGCCACAUCAAAACAGACUAAUGAUCAAUCAAGUCUAGUAUCCCAUCUCUGGCUUCAGAGAAAAGUGAAGAUGCCUUUCCCUAAACCCCAGUACCACUUUUGCACUUAAAUAGGGACAAUUACACAAUUGUUCAAGUCUUUUUAGACUAAACUUUGGGAAUGAGACUUCGUUCACUGUUGUGCAUAUUUUAUUAUGAAGUGUUGUGCAUAUUCUAAUGUUAUGUAGCAACAUAAUACGUGUUUUAUUUAUCACAACAGUGUUUUUAAAACGUACAAUAUAUUCUCUACCCUCCAGCCUCAUGCAUACAAAAACACCACCCAAUAAUAUUUAAAAAAAAAAAAAAACCAAUCUUUUUUUUUUUCCCCCAAAGUUUACUCUGAUUACUGAGCUGAGCUCCUGCCACUUCCAUGAGAGCUAACUGGAGUGGAGAACACUCUGCAUCUAAAAGGAUUGUGCCCUUAUAUCAGACACUGGGAUCUUGUAUUUAGACCAUUUGAUGUAUUUUUCUUUCUACUGUAAAGAUAGAGUUGUUGCCAAAUUUACAUUAAACUAACCUUUGGCCAAUUAGGCUUCAAAAUAGUGGCCCUUUUUCCAUCAACAAGAGCUUUCCUUUAAAAAAAAAAAAAAAAAAAAAGAAAUAUUUAUUA